ensembl:lincRNA predicted gene, 33533
GAGGGCACUGGAUUCUCCUAAAACUGGAACGGAAAGUGGUUAUGACCCACCUGUACAGAGCGGAACCUGAGCCAUCUCUCCACCACCCAACUUCUCGAAUUCUUAGCAGACAGAUGCCAAGACCCACUCACUUUGUCUGUCUCCGCCUUUUAUAUGUGACCAGUGUGAACACCACCAGCACCGUCACCAGGAGGACUGCUGCCAUGGCAACAGUAGCAGAGAUGAUAUUCUUCUGCAGGAAGCUCAGCAGCUGUCCGCACGGCAGACUCUCCCUGGAGGCACCUAGGUAGGAAGACACAAGAGCAGAAGCUGGAGGAGGCCUGAAUCCAUCCCUGACAGGUUGCAGAAUGUUUGUGCAAUCCACAAAGACCUAAACAAAAUGAGAAAAUGAACCACACCAAGAUAUCUACUGGCAAUCUCCAAACGACAUAACGCCCUUAGGAGAAAGAGGCAGGUUUGGAAAUGAGAAACCUUUGCAUUCCGGCUCUGCCUCUGGCUAUCCGUGACCCACGUGAGUAAGAGAGCUGGCAAAAUCCCUGGGGGCAUUUGGUCCAGGGAAAUGGGAGGCCAAGAGCUGUCAUUGGCAGGCAUGGGAAGCCCCCAGAGACACUGUUAUAUGUGAUCUGAGCUGUUCCAUGGAACAAUCUAGAAGCCAUGGGCAGGAGCUCAGCCUGAUCUUCAUGGUCUGUGUGAAUUGGAAAAGAAAACUAACAAGAACAAAUGGGCAGGGUCAGAAAGUGACUUCCACACCCCCAGACAACCUCAAGCCAAGCUGUGGCUCCAGCGACAGGGAGACAUACCUGAAACCUUGAUAGGAAAUGGUGGCGGGGGUUGGUGGGUAAGCUUCCUGAAUCUUUGGGCAGGUUCACAAAGGAAACAAGACUAGUUGCCAUGGGAUGAAGGCUAUUAAGUGUGUGGUAAGAGACUCCCCAACGUUCUCAUCAUUCUUUUUUUUUAAGAUUUAUUUAUUUAUUAUAUAUAAGUACGCUGUAGGUGUCCUCAGACACACCAGAAGAGGACAACAGAUCUCAUUACAGAUGGUUGUGAGCCACCAUGUGGUUGCUGGGAAUUGAACUCAGGACCUUCAGAAGAGCUGUCAGUGCUCUUAACCGCUGAGCCAUUUCUCCAGCCCAGUUCUUGUCAUCCUUAGAAAAGAAAGGGAUCCAUUCAUUUUCCAAGUUGGCUUAAGAUAAAGGUUCAACUUAAUAUGCCUGGCAAUCAGUUGACUUUGAAUGUGGCAACUCAUUAAAGGGAUCAGCAGACAGAGACCGAGUGUGACUGACUUGGUGUCACCCCUGAGGGCUGCAUUGCCUAGUCUUUCAGAGGCUGGUAUAGAGAGUGCUUAUGCAUGGGGAGAUAAACUAAGCCAGGGAAUUUGCUUGGCACAUAAAAACGAGGACCCAUGAAAGAAAUGGCAGGCAUGGUGGUGAACAUCUGAAAACCUGCUGUUCUAGAGAGACAGAGACGGGGCAUCCCCGGGGCUUGCCAGACAAUCAGCCGAGCCUACUUGCUGAGUUCCAGGCUAUCGAAAAACCCACCUCAAAAUCAACAUCAAGGGGAGGCCAAUGGGAUGGUUCGGUGGAUAAAGGUGCCUGCCGCCAAGUCUGACAACCUAAGUUCAAGGUCCAGCAUCCACAUA